UGGGCAUUGAACAUGUCAGUUUCACUGCUGUCCAUGCAGUGUCAGAAAGCUCUCAGAUUUCAUCAAAAAUAUCUUAAUUUAUGUUCUGAAUAUGAACGAAGGUCUUACGGGUUUGGAACAACAUGAGGAUUGACAUGGGAAUCUGGCCAUCAGGCUGAAAGCUGUGGUCCGAACUGCACAGCUCCUCACAGCCUUUACUCAUAUGGCCCACAACAAAUAUCUGCUGUAUGGAAAGAAAAAAAAAUCAAAAAAAAGGGGGUUUUCAAAGAGGACUUCAGUGGGGAUCAAGGCGGAUGAAGGUCAAAAUUGUACACUGUAAAACCUAACAGUGAA